GGGUGGACUUACCGCUGGUGUACCMGUUGUUCUGCCAAGGGCAUUGCUGGGUAGCUAUGUAGGGAAGGGAUAAACGCUGAAAGCAUCUAAGUGUGAAGCCCACCUCAAGAUGAGAUUUCCCAUUUCUUUAAGAAAGUAAGAUCCCUGAGAGAUGAUCAGGUAGAUAGGUCAGGAGUGGAAGUACAGUGAUGUAUGGAGCGGACUGAUACUAAUCGAUCGAGGACUUAACCAAU
rnacentral:rRNA from 1 species